rnacentral:rRNA from 1 species
CGUAGGUUACCUCCUGGUAGCGGGGGAUAACUAUUGGAAACGAUAGCUAAUCCCGCAUAAGAGUAGAUGUCGCAUGACAUUUGCUUAAAAGGUGCAAUUGCAUCACUACCAGAUGGACCUGCGUUGUAUUAGCUAGUUGUGAGGUAACGGCUCACCAAGGCAACGAUACAUAGCCGACCUGAGAGGGUGAUCGGCCACACUGGGACUGAGACACGGCCCAGACUUCCUACGGGAGGCAGCAGUAGGGAAUCUUCGGCAAUGGACGGAAGUCUGACCGAGCAACGCCGCGUGAGUGAAGAAGGUUUUCGGAUCGUAAAGCUCUGUUGUAAGAGAAGAACGAGUGUGAGAGUGGAAAGUUCACACUGUGACGUAUCUACCAGAAAGGAC